rnacentral:rRNA from 1 species
UAUACAUGCAGUCGAGCGAACAGACGAGGAGCUUGCUCCUCUGACGUUAGCGGCGGACGGGUGAGUAACACGUGGAUAACCUACCUAUAAGACUGGGAUAACUUCGGGAAACCGGAGCUAAUACCGGAUAAUAUAUUGAACCGCAUGGUUCAAUAGUGAAAGACGGUUUUGCUGUCACUUAUAGAUGGAUCCGCGCCGCAUUAGCUAGUUGGUAAGGUAACGGCUUACCAAGGCAACGAUGCGUAGCCGACCUGAGAGGGUGAUCGGCCACACUGGAACUGAGACACGGUCCAGACUCCUACGGGAGGCAGCAGUAGGGAAUCUUCCGCAAUGGGCGAAAGCNUGACGGAGCAACGCCGCGUGAGUGAUGAAGGUCUUCGGAUCGUAAAACUCUGUUAUUAGGGAAGAACAAAUGUGUAAGUAACUAUGCACGUCUUGACGGUACCUAAUCAGAAAGCCACGGCUAACUACGUGCCAGCAGCCGCGUAAUACGUAGGUGGCAAGCGUUAUCCGGAAUUAUUGGGCGUAAAGCGCGCGUAGGCGGU